UACAGAGGUCUCGAGCGUUGUUCGGAUUCAUUGGGCGUAAAGGGCGCGUAGGCGGCGGGGUAAGUCUGGUGUGAAAUCUAGGAGCUCAACUCCUAAACUGCACUGGAUACUGCUCUGCUAGAGGACUGGAGAGGAGACUGGAAUUCACGGUGUAGCAGUGAAAUGCGUAGAUAUCGUGAGGAAGACCAGUGGCGAAGGCGGGGUCUCUGGACAGUUCCUGACGCUGAGGCGCGAAGGCCAGGGGAGCAAACGGG
rnacentral:rRNA from 1 species